AUUGAACGCUGGCGGCAGGCCUAACACAUGCAAGUCGAGCGGCAGCGGGAAAGUAGCUUGCUACUUUUGCCGGCGAGCGGCGGACGGGUGAGUAAUGCCUGGGAAAUUGCCCAGUCGAGGGGGAUAACAGUUGGAAACGACUGCUAAUACCGCAUACACCCUACGGGGGAAAGCAGGGGACCUUCGGGCCUUGCGCGAUUGGAUAUGCCCAGGUGGGAUUAGCUAGUUGGUGAGGUAAUGGCUCACCAAGGCGACGAUCCCUAGCUGGUCUGAGAGGAUGAUCAGCCACACUGGAACUGAGACACGGUCCAGACUCCUACGGGAGGCAGCAGUGGGGAAUAUUGCACAAUGGGGGAAACCCUGAUGCAGCCAUGCCGCGUGUGUGAGGAAGGCCUUCGGGUUGUAAAGCACUUUCAGCGAGGAGGAAAGGUUGAUGCCUAAUACGCAUCAACUGUGACGUUACUCGCAGAAGAAGCACCGGCUAACUCCGUGCCAGCCGCCGCCGUAA
rnacentral:rRNA from 1 species